rnacentral:rRNA from 1 species
GUAGGGAAUAUUGGACAAUGGGGGGAACCCUGAUCCAGCCAUGCCGCGUGUGUGAAGAAGGCCUUUUGGUUGUAAAGCACUUUAAGCGAGGAGGAGGCUACCGAGAUUAAUACUCUUGGAUAGUGGACGUUACUCGCAGAAUAAGCACCGGCUAACUCUGUGCCAGCAGCCGCGGUAAUACAGAGGGUGCAAGCGUUAAUCGGAUUUACUGGGCGUAAAGCGCGCGUAGGUGGCCAAUUAAGUCAAAUGUGAAAUCCCCGAGCUUAACUUGGGAAUUGCAUUCGAUACUGGUUGGCUAGAGUAUGGGAGAGGAUGGUAGAAUUCCAGGUGUAGCGGUGAAAUGCGUAGAGAUCUGGAGGAAUACCGAUGGCGAAGGCAGCCAUCUGGCCUAAUACUGACACUGAGGUGCGAAAGCAUGGGGAGCAAACAGGAUUAGAAACCCUUGUAGUCC